rnacentral:tRNA from 1 species
CUUUUGUUUACCGAGGGUUCGAAUCCCUCUCUUUCCGUAGCAUCUUUCUUUACCUAAUUCACCACUGUUACUGACUACAAUGUAUCA